rnacentral:rRNA from 1 species
GAUGAACGCUGGCGGCGUGCCUAAUACAUGCAAGUCGAGCGAACGGACGAGAAGCUUGUUUCUCUGAUGUUAGCGGCGGACGGGUGAGUAACGCGUGGAUAACCUACCUAUCAGACUGGGAUAACUUCGGGAAACCGGAGCUAAUACCGGAUGAUAUCUUGAACCGCAGGGUUCAAAAGUGAAAGACGGUCUUGCUGGCACUUCUCGCUGGUUCCGGGCUGCUUUGGGGGGUUGUUAAGGUAACGGGUUACCAAGGCAACGAGGCCUAGCCGACCGGAGAGAGGGAUCGCCCACACGGGAACGGGGACGCGGACCAGACUCCUACGGGAGGCAGCAGUCGGGAAUCUGCCGCAAUGGGCGAAAGCCUGACGGAGCGACCCCGAGCGAGUUAUGAAGGUCUUGGGAUCGUAAAACUCUGUUAUGAGGGAAAAACAUAUUUGUAAGGAACUGUGCACAGCGUGACGGUACCUAAUCAGAAAGCCACGGCUAACUACGUG